UUUAGUCCCAGAAGUUUAUAUUUUAAUUCCCAAAAGGUCUCUGCUGUUAAAAUAAUUUAACUAACAGAGUUAAAAGAAUUUAACGGCAGAGACCUUUUGGGAAUUAAAAUGUAAACUUUAGAGACUAA
rnacentral:pre_miRNA from 1 species